GACGAACGCUGGCGGCGUGCUUAACACAUGCAAGUCGAACGGAAAGGCCCCUUUGGGGGUACUCGAGUGGCGAACGGGGGCGUAACACGUGAGUAACCUGCCCUUGACUUCGGGAUAACUUCAGGAAACUGGGGCUAAUACCGGAUAGGAAUCCUUGCUGCAUGGGGGGGGUUGGAAAGCUUCGGCGGUUUUGGCUGGACGCGCGGCUUAUCAGCUUGUUGGUGUGGUAGUGGCUUACCAAGGCUUUGACGGGUAGCCGGCCUGAGAGGGCGACCGGCCACAUUGGGACUGAGAUACGGCCCAGACUCCUACGGGAGGCAGCAGUGGGGAAUAUUGCACAAUGGGCGGAAGCCUGAUGCAGCAACGCCGCGUGCGGGAUGACGGCCUUCGGGUUGUAAACCGCUUUCAGCAGGGGCGAAGCUUUUGUGACGGUACCUGCAGAAGAAGCACCGGCUAACUACGUG
rnacentral:rRNA from 1 species